AACGAACGCUGGCGGCAGGCUUAACACAUGCAAGUCGAGCGCCCCGCAAGGGGAGCGGCAGACGGGUGAGUGACACGUGGGAACGUACCUUUUGCUACGGAAUAGCUCCGGGAAACUGGAAUUAAUACCGGAUGUGCCCUUCGGGGGCAAGAUUUAUCGGCAAAAGAUCGGCCCGCGUCCGAUUAGCUAUUUGGUGGGGUAAUGGCCUACCAAGGCGACGAUCAGUAGCUGGUCUGGGAGGAUGAUCAGCCACACUGGGACUGAGACACGGCCCAGACUCCUACGGGAGGCAGCAGUGGGGAAGAUUGGACAAUGGGCGCAAGCCUGAUCCAGCCAUGCCGCGUGAGUGAUGAAGGCCUUAGGGUUGUAAAGCUCUUUCGCUAGGGAAGAUAAUGACGGUACCUAGAGAAGAAGCCCCGGCUAACUUCGUGCCAGCCGCCGCCGUAA
rnacentral:rRNA from 1 species